rnacentral:rRNA from 1 species
GGGAGCAAAGUGCCGCACGUGUGCGGUUUGGAGAGUACCCGGAGAAAAAGCAUCGGCUAACUCCGUGCCAGCAGCCGCGGUAAUACGGAGGAUGCGAGCGUUAUCCGGAUUUAUUGGGUUUAAAGGGUGCGUAGGCGGACGCUUAAGUCAGCGGUAAAAUUGCGGGGCUCAACCUCGUCGAGCCGUUGAAACUGGGUGCCUUGAGUGGGCGAGAAGUACGCGGAAUGCGUGGUGUAGCGGUGAAAUGCAUAGAUAUCACGCAGAACUCCGAUUGCGAAGGCAGCGUACCGGCGCCCAACUGACGCUGAAGCACGAAGGCGUGGGUAUCGAACAGGAUUAGAUACCCUGGUAGUCCACGCAGUAAACGAUGAAUGCUAGUUGUCCGGGGCGAUUGAGUUCUG